rnacentral:sRNA from 1 species
GUUUCAAUUCCUCAUAGGCAGGCUAUCGGCUGGGUAUCCUUGGGGCUCUUGCUGCUUGGCGGGUUACGG